rnacentral:rRNA from 1 species
AACGAACGCUGGCGGCAGGCCUAACACAUGCAAGUCGAGCGAACCCUUCGGGGUUAGCGGCGGACGGGUUAGUAACGCGUGGGAAUAUACCCUUUGGUACGGAAUAGCCUCGGGAAACUGAGAGUAAUACCGUAUGUGCCCUUCGGGGGAAAGGAUUUAUCGCCAAAGGAUUAGCCCGCGUUGGAUUAGAUAGUUGGUGGGGUAAUGGCCUACCAAGUCUACGAUCCAUAGCUGGUUUGAGAGGAUGAUCAGCAACACUGGGACUGAGACACGGCCCAGACUCCUACGGGAGGCAGCAGUGGGGAAUCUUAGACAAUGGGCGCAAGCCUGAUCUAGCCAUGCCGCGUGGACGAUGAAGGCCUUAGGGUUGUAAAGUCCUUUCAGCUGGGAAGGAUAAUGACGGUACCAGCAGAAGAAGCCCGGCUAACUCCGUGCCAGCAGCCGCGGUAAAGU